UAAUACGUAGGGUGCGAGCGUUAAUCGGAAUUACUGGGCGUAAAGCGUGCGCAGGCGGUUGUGCAAGACAGGUGUGAAAUCCCCGGGCUCAACCUGGGAACUGCGCUUGUGACUGCACAACUAGAGUACGGCAGAGGGGGGUGGAAUUCCUGGUGUAGCAGUGAAAUGCGUAGAUAUCAGGAGGAACAUCGAUGGCGAAGGCAGCCCCCUGGGCCUGUACUGACGCUCAUGCACGAAAGCGUGGGGAGCAAACAGGAUUAGAUACCCUGGUAGUCCACGCCCUAAACGAUGUCGACUAGUUGUUCGGGAAGGUGACUUCUUGAGUAACGUAGCUAACGCGUGAAGUCGACCGCCUGGGGAGUACGGCCGCAAGGUUA
rnacentral:rRNA from 1 species